rnacentral:miRNA from 1 species
CUUUCUGUAGCUGUUGGAACUA